UCAGGACGAACGCUGGCGGCGUGCUUAACACAUGCAAGUCGAGCGAUGAAGCUUCUUCGGAAGUGGAUUAGCGGGCGGACGGGUGAGGUAACACGUGGGUAACCCUGCCUCGAUAGAGGGGAAUAGCCUUCCGAAAGGAAGAUUAAUACCGCAUAAGAUUGUAAUAUCGCAUGAUAUAGCAAUUAAAGGAGUAAUCCGCUAUGAGAUGGACCCGCGUCGCAUUAGCUAGUUGGUGAGGUAACGGCUCACCAAGGCGACGAUGCGUAGCCGACCUGAGAGGGUGAUCGGCCACAUUGGGACUGAGACACGGCCCAGACUCCUACGGGAGGCAGCAGUGGGGAAUAUUGCACAAUGGGGGAAACCCUGAUGCAGCCAACGCCGCGUGAGUGAUGACGGUCUUCGGAUUGUAAAGCUCUGUCUUCAGGGACGAUAAUGACGGUACCUGAGGAGGAAGCCACGGCUAACUACGUGCCAGCAGCCGC
rnacentral:rRNA from 1 species